rfam:Picea glauca, whole genome shotgun sequence.
GUAACGGUGUCUUUAGACACCACCUUUAUCUUCAAAAUUUUAUUC